AUGUCAGUCCAUCAGCGCGCAGCCCCGCCCUCUGCCCGGCGGAACGCAGCACGGAGCGGAGCGGAGCGGCGGGCGCUGGGCGCGGCUGCAUGGCGUGCUGGGGGUCGUGCCGGCGGGUGGGCGCCACGCCGCGCUGAUCCGCGCUGCUCGGGGCGGGCGACACCACCUCGGGCUCUUCCUCUGAUAGAAGGGAGCAGCGAGGCGGGGAUCAAGAUGAUCGAAACGCUUGUGACUACCGAAGCGCAGGAGCUGUUGUACCAGCUGACGGCCCUGCUGGAGCAGGAGCUGAGGUGUCAGCCCAAGGCCUCUGGCCUGAGACUCAUCGAAGCUGCCCACGAUAAUGGCCUCCGAAUGACUGCCCGCCUGCGAGACUUUGAAGUGAAAGAUCUCCUCAGCUUAACUCAGUUCUUCGGCUUCCACACAGAGACGUUUUCGCUAGCUGUGAAUUUCUUAGAUAGGUUCUUGUCAAAAAUGAAGGUACAGCCUAAGCACUUAGGCUGUGUUGGACUCAGCUGCUUCUACUUGGCUGUGAAAGCAACAGAGGAAGAGAGAAAUGUUCCCUUAGCCACUGACUUGAUUCGAAUAAGCCAGUAUAGGUUCACUGUUUCUGAUAUGAUGAGAAUGGAGAAAAUCGUAUUGGAGAAGCUGUCUUGGAAAGUCAAAGCUACAACAGCCUUCCAGUUUCUACAACUGUAUCAUUCGCUCAUUCAUGAGAAUUUAAGCUGUGAAAGGAGAAAAUACCUUAAUUUUGAGAGACUUGAGACACAGCUUAAGGCAUGUCACUGCAGAAUCAUGUUUUCUAAAGCCAAGCCUUCUGUCUUGGCAUUGUCUAUUAUGGCACUAGAGAUAGAAGAACAAAAACUACUGGAGUUGACAGAGGCAUUGGAAUUUCUGCAGCUGCAUUCCAAGAUGAACAACAGAGAGUUGACCUUCUGGAAGGAAUUGGUGUUAAAGUGCCUUACAGAAUAUUCCUCAAGCAAGUGUUCAAAACCAAACGUCCAGAAAUUAAAAUGGAUUGUGUCUGGACGUACAGCGCGGCAGCUUAAACAUAGCUAUUACAGAAUAACACACCUUCCUACAAUUCCAGAGACCAGCUCAUAAUAGGUAUCCUGUUGGAGAUGUGUAACUUAAACAUAGUAGGCCUGUCAUGUAGAGGCUGGUCUGUUCUCGUGUUCAUGCUUGAGCCAGUGCUGCACCUAAAGAAGUGGCAACCUAAUAUAUGAAUACUGGAGAAGGAACUGAUCCUUUGGUGUGCUGUGGGAGCAGAAAUGUGUUCUACAGACAUUGGGACCUCAUUCAAACUAAAAUGUGGAGUAAAACUGGAAUACAAUAAAAUGAGAGAACCAUCCUGUGACCUAGUUCACAGGCAGAUGAAGAUUUGAGAAACCAAGUCUGAAACAUGAUCUUAAUAAUGAAGAACCCAACUCAUGGAAAUACGUAACAUUUCAGACUAAAAAUCCUUGCAGCAAAUGCGUUCUUUUCCAUGAUGAUUACAACAACAUUCAGUGUCAGUUUUUGGUCUUAUUAGACCAUUUACUAUCCAAACAGUGAAAAACCACAAUACUGAUAGAAGGAAUUUAACACCUUAGAGUUUGUAGAGCAGCUUGUGUAGUCUAACCUUGUUUUACUAUAAGUGCAGAUGCCCGGUGGUGUAUUAAAUUUAAAAAAAAUCUGGUUCAACUUUCCAAAGAUUACAGGACAUUAGGAAAAUGUGUGCAGUGGCACAGUGCUGUAGUCUCAGGCAAACUAAAGACCAUCUUGCUCAAUAUUGAUGAGAAUAGGAAAUGCUUGUCAGUCAACCUGACAUGCUGGCUUGGAAUGUCAUGUGUCCAUGUGUUCCUACAGGGCAGGGUACUGGCCUUUAACGUAGACAAACUAAAAACAAAGCUCUACGAUACCUGCUGAGCACGUCAAGUACCUGGAGCAGGACAAAGGGGAGAAACUUGAUUUCGUUGCCUUGUAAAAGAUAGUCACGAACACUGCAUUGAUAACGUCAGUGUUUUGUAAGAGGUGUAGUUUGCUGAGAUUAUGAAGGAUAGAGAGAGCAUAGAAACUUCAUGGUACGUAAGAAGGCUGGAGAGAAACCACUGAGUUACCUGCCCCAAAUCUGCCAUUAGUCUUGCGAGGUUUUGCUACACAAGAGGUAAAUGCUGAUGCUGAACAGAUGGAUUUUACAGGCACAGUAAGAACAGGGCUGUAGUCCCAUAACGGCCUGUAAGUAGGAACAAUUGAGGUGAGAAACAACUGAAGAUUGUUUCAACUCUCAUCUGUUUAACAAUUAGCUUUGUGAAACACACCUGCUCUGUUUUUUUCUUCCCUGAAGACCGCAUCAGUACUUGAGGCGUAUCUUGCUUUUGGUACUAACAUAAAAGUGAAUAAUAAGAAUGUGUUAUUGGAUGUGAGAUGGAUAGAGGUGAGGGGGGGAAUGUUGCUAAUGACCUCUUGAAUUCUGUGUCACUGUGGAGCAGAGGCUGUUAGGGGUAGGCUGAUCAUAACUGCCAUGUAAAUGGAUUUAGGGGAAAAUGAGCGAUCUGAAUAUAGUGUGGGCUUAAAUGCUAGCCUACCAAACCUGUCCCCUUAAUGGUAAUAGCUGAUGCGUAAACCAUUCUUAGCAUAUCUUAAACUAAUUAAAUUCUUCACAAAAGACUUCAUACCAAAGCUCUGUACUGAACAAAUCAAGCUUUCUCGUGAACUCAUGGGAAUGAUUGCACUGCAUAGCAUUUAAUCGAGUCUUCCAUCUGCCAGUGCUCUCUGUGCAUUGUGCUGGCCUCUGAAAGCAUACACGUGACUCAGACAAAGGGGUGGGCAGCUUACUGGGAGAGAUGGACAACGAUGCAGUGUGCAAUUCUACUGGUGUUGUCAUGUGUCAAGGUAUGUACCUUUCAAUUAAAUGUUGAAAUGCGGUUAACCAA